AUUGAACGCUGGCGGCAUGCUUUACACAUGCAAGUCGGACGGCAGCGGGGGUGCUUGCACCUGCCGGCGAGUGGCGAACGGGUGAGUAACAUAUUGGAAUGUACCGAGUAGUGGGGGAUAACCAAUCGAAAGAUUGGCUAAUACCGCAUACGUCCUGAGGGGGAAAGCAGGGGAUCUUCGGACCUUGCGCUAUUUGAGCAGCCAAUAUCUGAUUAGCUAGUUGGUGGGGUAAGGGCCCACCAAGGCGACGAUCAGUAGCGGGUCUGAGAGGAUGAUCCGCCACACUGGGACUGAGACACGGCCCAGACUCCUACGGGAGGCAGCAGUGGGGAAUUUUGGACAAUGGGGGCAACCCUGAUCCAGCCAUGCCGCGUGUCUGAAGAAGGCCUUCGGGUUGUAAAGGACUUUUGUUAGGGAAGAAAAGGGAAGUGUUAAUACCACUUUUUGCUGACGGUAC
rnacentral:rRNA from 1 species